rnacentral:rRNA from 1 species
CAGUCGCCGCGGUAAUACGUAGGGUGCAAGCGUUAUCCGGAAUUAUUGGGCGUAAAGAGCUCGUAGGCGGUUUGUCGCGUCUGCUGUGAAAACUGAAGGCUCAACCUCCAGCCUGCAGUGGGUACGGGCAGACUAGAGUGCGGUAGGGGAGAUUGGAAUUCCUGGUGUAGCGGUGGAAUGCGCAGAUAUCAGGAGGAACACCGAUGGCGAAGGCAGAUCUCUGGGCCGUAACUGACGCUGAGGAGCGAAAGCGUGGGGAGCGAACAGGAUUAGAUACCCCUGUAGUCCCUGUCUCUUAUAC